ACUGGGAUAACUCCAUUGGUAGAGCAAGAGACUCUUAAUCUAGGGGUUGUGGGUUUGAGUCCCAUGCUGGGCA